rnacentral:rRNA from 1 species
CGUCAGGACGAACGCUGGCGGCGUGCUCAUACAUGCAAGUCGAACGAUAAGGCACCUCGGGUGUACAUAAGUGGCGGACGGGUGAGUAAUAUGUAGAGAAUCUGCCCUAGAGAGCGGGACAACAGUUGGAAACGACUGCUAAUACCGCAUAUGAGCGUAGCUGAAAUGCUAUUCUUGAAAACUCCGGUGCUCUGGGAUGAGUCUGCAUCUGAUUAGCUAGUUGGGGGUGUAAUGGACCACCAAGGCGACGAUCAGUAGCUGGUUUGAGAGGAUGAUCAGCCACAAUGGGACUGAGACACGGCCCAUACUCCUACGGGAGGCAGCAGUAGGGAAUUUUGCGCAAUGGGGGAAACCCUGACGCAGCAACGCCGCGUGACCGAUGAAGCCCUUCGGGGUGUAAAGGUCUGUCAGUGGGGACGAAUAUUGACGGUACCCACAGAGGAAGCAUCGGCUAACUCCGUGCCAGCCGCGGC